GGGCCCGCACAAGCGGUGGAGCAUGUGGUUUAAUUCGAUGAUACGCGAGGAACCUUACCAGGGCUUAAAUGUAGUAUGACCGGUCUGGAAACAGACCUUCCCUUCGGGCAGAUUACAAGGUGCUGCAUGGUUGUCGUCAGCUCGUGCCGUGAGGUGUUAGGUUAAGUCCUGCAACGAGCGCAACCCCUAUUCUUAGUUGCCAGCGGUUCGGCCGGGGACUCUAAGAAGACUGCCAGCGCAAGCUGAGAGGAAGUGGGGAUGACGUCAAAUCAUCACGGCCCUUACGUCCUGGGGCUACACACGUGCUACAAUGGUACAGACAGAGGGCAGCCACCUGGCGACAGGGAGCGAAUCCUUAAACUGUAUCUC
rnacentral:rRNA from 1 species